UACAGAGGUCUCAAGCGUUGUUCGGAUUCAUUGGGCGUAAAGGGUGCGUAGGCGGCCAUGUAAGUCAGGAGUGAAAGUUUGCGGCUCAACCGUAAAAUUGCUUUUGAUACUGCAUGGCUGGAAUCAGGAUGAGGUCAGCGGAAUGUGGCAUGUAGCGGUGAAAUGCAUAGAUAUGCCAUAGAACACCAAUUGCGAAGGCAGCUGGCUAGACCUGUAUUGACGCUGAGGCACGAAAGCGUGGGGAGCGAAUAGG
rnacentral:rRNA from 1 species